rnacentral:rRNA from 1 species
AUACGUAGGUGGCAAGCGUUAUCCGGAUUUACUGGGUGUAAAGGGCGCGUAGGCGGGGGUGCAAGUCAGAUGUGAAAUCUAUGGGCUUAACUCAUAAACUGCCUUUGAACCUGUAUCUCUUGAGUGCUGGAGAGGUAGACGGAAUUCCUUGUGUAGCGGUGAAAUGCGUAGAUAUAAGGAAGAACACCAGUGGCGAAGGCGGUCUACUGGACAGUAACUGACGCUGAGGCGCGAAAGCGUGGGGAGCAAACAGGAUUAGAUACCCUGGUAGUCCACGCUGUAAACGAUGAAUACUAGGUGUGGGGGGACUGACCCCCUCCGUGCCGCAGUUAACACAAUAAGUAUUCCACCUGGGGAGUACGGCCGCAAGGUUGAAACUCAAAUGAAUUGGCGGGG